rnacentral:rRNA from 1 species
GACGAACGCUGGCGGCGUGCUUAACACAUGCAAGUCGAGCGGUAAGGCCCUUUCGGAGGUACACGAGCGGCGAACGGGUGAGUAACACGUGGGUGACCUGCCCUCAGCUCUGGGAUAAGCCCGGGAAACUGGGUCUAAUACCGGAUAUGACUCCAUGACGCAUGUUGUGGGGUGGAAAGCCUUGUGCGGCUGAGGAUGGGCCCGCGGCCUAUCAGCUUGUUGGUGGGGUGANGGCCUACCAAGGCGACGACGGGUAGCCGGCCUGAGAGGGCGACCGGCCACACUGGGACUGAGAUACGGCCCAGGACUCCUACGGGAGGCGAGCAGUGGGGAAUCUUGCGCAAUGGGCGAAAGCCUGACGCAGCGACGCCGCGUGA